rnacentral:rRNA from 1 species
AGAGUUUGAUCCUGGCUCAGGACGAACGCUGGCGGCGUGCCUAACACAUGCAAGUCGCACGGACCCGCAAGGGUCAGUGGCGAACGGGUGCGUAACACGUGAGGAACAUACCUAUCGGCGGGGGAUAGCCGGCCCAACGGCCGGGUAAUACCGCGUACGCUGUUCGAGGGGCAUCCCUUGGACAGGAAAGCAGCAAUGCACCGAUAGAGUGCCUCGCGGCCUAUCAGCUAGUUGGUGAGGUAAUGGCUCACCAAGGCUACGACGGGUAGCUGGUCUGAGAGGAUGAUCAGCCACAUUGGGACUGAGACACGGCCCAGACUCCUGCGGGAGGCAGCAGUGGGGAAUCUUGCGCAAUGGGCGAAAGCCUGACGCAGCGACGCCGCGUGUGGGAUGAAGGCCUUCGGGUCGUAAACCACUGUCGCGAGGGACGAAUAAAUUGACGGUACCUCGAAAGGAAGCACCGGCUAACUCUGUGCCAGCAGCCGCGGUA